AGAGACUUAGGUUAUACCAGACCAAGAGCCUUCAAAGCUCUAAGAAAACACUAAUGUUUAGCCUCUG
rnacentral:tRNA from 1 species